rnacentral:rRNA from 1 species
CCUACGGGUGGCAGCAGUGAGGAAUAUUGGUCAAUGGACGAGAGUCUGAACCAGCCAAGUAGCGUGAAGGAUGACUGCCCUAUGGGUUGUAAACUUCUUUUAUAUGGGAAUAAAUUGUUCCAAGUGUGGGAUUUUGUAUGUACCAUAUGAAUAAGGAUCGGCUAACUCCGUUCCAGCAGCCGCGGUAAUACGGAGGAUCCGUGCGUUGUCCGGAUUUAUUGGGUUUAAAGGGAGCGUAGGUGGAUUGUUAAGUCAGUUGUGAAAGUUUGCGGCUCAACCGUAAAAUUGCAGUUGAAACUGGCAGUCUAGAGUACAGUAGAGGUGAGCGGAAUUCGAGGUGUAGCGGUGAAAUGCGUAGAUAUCACGAAGAACUCCGAUUGCGAAGGCAGUUCACUGGACUGCAACUGACACUGAGGCUCGAAAGUGUGGGUAUCAAACAGGAUUAGAUACCCGGGUAGUC